GCAAGUCGUACGCUUCUUUUUCCACCGGAGCUUGCUCCACCGGAAAAAGAGGAGUGGCGAACGGGUGAGUAACACGUGGGUAACCUGCCCAUCAGAAGGGGAUAACACUUGGAAACAGGUGCUAAUACCGUAUAACAAUCGAAACCGCAUGGUUUUGAUUUGAAAGGCGCUUUCGGGUGUCACUGAUGGAUGGACCCGCGGUGCAUUAGCUAGUUGGUGAGGUAACGGCUCACCAAGGCCACGAUGCAUAGCCGACCUGAGAGGGUGAUCGGCCACAUUGGGACUGAGACACGGCCCAAACUCCUACGGGAGGCAGCAGUAGGGAAUCUUCGGCAAUGGACGAAAGUCUGACCGAGCAACGCCGCGUGAGUGAAGAAGGUUUUCGGAUCGUAAAACUCUGUUGUUAGAGAAGAACAAGGAUGAGAGUAACUGUUCAUCCCUUGACGGUAUCUAACCAGAAAGCCACGGCUAACUACGUGCCAGCAGCCGCGGUAAUACGUAGGUGGCAAGCGUUGUCCGGAUUUAUUGGGCGUAAAGCGAGCGCAGGCGGUUUCUUAAGUCUGAUGUGAAAGCCCCCGGCUCAACCGGGGAGGGUCAUUGGAAACUGGGAGACUUGAGUGCAGAAGAGGAGAGUGGAAUUCCAUGUGUAGCGGUGAAAUGCGUAGAUAUAUGGAGGAACACCAGUGGCGAA
rnacentral:rRNA from 1 species